AUAAAUAGUUGAUUUUAGUCGUGCACAAUAGAAACAUUGUGCUUAAAGAGCCUUGAAUUGCUGGAAAGUCCUGAGAGCCUUGUAAACCAAAACAUAAGAUUGAGAUAAUAUCUAAAUGUGAGGGUGGUUUAACCGAAAAAAUUACAAGGAUUUGAGUUUAGUCACACUCUGCUGGAUAACCAUGCAGCUAAGCCUUGAUGAGAGGAAAGUUCAACGACUAGUGCAAAGGCACGUAGGAUAUAUCCCGAAGCGGGGCAACCUAAACCGUAAAGGUCGGUAGGAGAAGAUAUAGUCUAUACCCACUAUAAAGUAGUG
rnacentral:ncRNA from 1 species